UAGGGAAUCUUCCGCAAUGGGCGAAAGCCUGACGGAGCAACGCCGCGUGAGUGAUGAAGGUCUUCGGAUCGUAAAACUCUGUUAUUAGGGAAGAACAAAUGUGUAAGUAACUAUGCACGUCUUGACGGUACCUAAUCAGAAAGCCACGGCUAACUACGUGCCAGCAGCCGCGGUAAUACGUAGGUGGCAAGCGUUAUCCGGAAUUAUUGGGCGUAAAGCGCGCGUAGGCGGUUUUUUAAGUCUGAUGUGAAAGCCCACGGCUCAACCGUGGAGGGUCAUUGGAAACUGGUUGACUUGAGUGCAGAAGAGGAGAGUGGAAUUCCAUGUGUAGCGAUGAAAUGCGUAGAUAUAUGGAGGAACACCAGUGGCGAAGGCGACUCUCUGGUCUGUAACUGACGCUGAGGUUCGAAAGCGUGGGUAGCAAACAGG
rnacentral:rRNA from 1 species